rfam:Shewanella benthica KT99 1099576005666, whole genome shotgun sequence.
UUAUCCGUGAGGGUUGGUCUGAAGGAAGCCGCUAGCCUUCCUACUCAUUGAGAGUGCGAUCUGAUGAACAAGAACAUCAUAUGAGGCGUUAAAGGUGAGUUGGCAUAGCCAACGCU